CUCUCUCAGACAGAAACCCUAAUCCACUGCCCCUUCUUCUCAGCCAGCAGCCCCUCUCUCUCAGCCAGCAGCAGCAGCCGUCACCGCUUCCACCGUCGCCGAACUCUUCUCGUCAGCCAGAUGGUGCCUUGCCGCCGGCAGUGACAGAGAGAGGGUCAGCUCGAAGCUUUUGGCCGUCGAUCCUCUUCUCCUCCACGUCGUCGCCUCUGGACUUGCAGAUCGAAGCUUGUGGUCGUCUUCUCUACAUCGUCGUCGUAUUCAUCGUCGUGUACUUGCAGAUCGAAGCGCGGUCGGUUGGAUUCCUCCAUCGCUGGUCAGUUUGCUCGAUCCUCGUCUCUGUCUCGUCGUUCCUCCCUUGCCGGUAGUCGAGUUUCGUUCCUUCCUCGCCGCCUGUUCCAUUCCUCCAUCGACGUCAGUUUGGUUCCUCCUUCGUCGCUGCCAUCCACCACCACUCCCACCCCUCCCCUCCACUCCCACUCUUCCCUCUUUCUUGUUAUGCCUCGCCUCCCUUCUCCUUUUGCCAAUAACCCAUCCCCUCCCCUUUUGCGGCCACCCUUUCCCUCUUUGUCGUUUCUUCCCUUUUCGCUCCACCAGCAACCCUCUGUCCACCAUAUUGUCAAGGUAUUAAAUUACUUCGAUUAAGUUGUGCAGUUUUGACACACGGUUGAAGUUAUUUCAAAGGAUGUUGGUGAUUUUUGUUUGUUCUAUUGGAUUUCGGUUCGUGAAGGACUUGAAGUGUUUAGCUUUGUUGUUGCUUGGAGUUGAGGACAGAAGCUGGAGAAGGAUGUCUAAUGGCACCUUCUCGAUCCUUUGUUUGUUGGAAAUUGAUUAUUAGCUCAUGCUUUCGAAAUUGUUUAUUCUGUGAAAAAUGAUUAUAUUAUUUGGUGGGAUGCCUUUACUUUAUGGGGAUAUUUUGUAGAAUUUUUUUAAAGUUAUGAUGUCAUUAAUGUCUUGAUUGCUUUACUUCAAUUGGAUGUUUUGUUGAAAUGUUGAAAAAAAAAUUGUCAUAUUAUUGAAGUUUAGAUUGUUAGCAUUUUGGGACAUUGUUUCCAAUUCAUCAUUCAUGCAGCUCCUUACUAUUGCUUCCGUUGCUCCUCUUCCCUUUUGAUGAUCUACCAGUUCUGGCUUGUUGAUUUAAAAAUAAAUUUUGAUCACAAGAUUAUGUACAUAUAAUAUAUUUAAAUAGAUAUCAAUUUUAUAAAAAUAAAAUUUCAAUUAUUUCUCAUCAUAUUUAGCAUGGGAUUAUUAGAUAGUAAGAAUUAUUUUCUAUUUAAAAAAAUUAAAUUCUGUUACACAUUACCCUCAAAUUCAGAGGGAAAAAAAUGACGGUAAUAUUUAGAUAAAUCAUCAAAUAAAUUAUUUUGUUUGCGUUGUAUCCAAAAAACUGAUGGUAAUAUUUUCCGUCGAGAUUUCUGUCAGUAGUUUGCGUUUUUUCUUUAGUAUCAACACUGCAAGUUGCUCACACACUCCUCAAACACGAAGCCUCCAGCCCUCCACCCUUGUCCUCGCUGCUGGUGGUUCCUCUCGUUGCAUCUGACACUGCUUGUCUCUUGUUCGUCAUCGCCUUUCUUCCCCUCUUGUUUACCAUCUGCCUCUGCUUGUGUCUAGUUUGCCACACCAUUUGCCUCCGCUUGCUUAUGUUCGCUUUUUUGUUUCGAUAAGGAUAACUACUUCCACUCCUUUAGGAUCCCCUACCAGCAAGGGAUUUUUUUUAUGUUGUGAUCCCUUUCAUUCUCUUGAAAGAUAAGCUUCAAAGACUUCAUUUACAGCAAUAAGUCUUCGGUGGUCCUCCAUGUGGUUUGUUUAUCUUCCAAGUCUGGAUCUUCGUCCAAAUCCUCAACCAACAUGAGUAUACAGUGUUUCAUCUUAUAAACAUGGUCCUUGAUCAAUAGUUGAAACCUCCCCACAUUUGAAGCAAAGUUGCCUUUCUACUUCGCUCUUGCAACUCUGUUUGGGAGAGAUGGCGCCCUUCACUUCUAUUCUCCAUUCUCCAUCAAUAGUUGUCUCUGUUGAGUCCUGUUGAGAGUGCAACCUACCUUGUUGGGCCAUGUUCUAGUAGCAUCAAGCUUGCUUCGAAAUAGGUUUGACACCCUUUGAGGCCUAAUCCCGAUUCACUCCUCUUCUCUAUUCUUUGUGUCUUCUUAUAAGAGAAUAACCCUAUCUUUGAUUUCAAAUAAUGAGUCCAAGUAAGCUUCUAUCUCCACUUUUUGGCCUAUGUGCAUUAGUGAAUAUAGUUUUUAGUAUUUCUCUUUGCAUCGUUAAAUUUUUUUAAACUGGUCUAUAAAAUUCAUUAUCGACUCACCUUGUUGGAGCUUCAAAAGUGAACCAAUUCAAGGCCUUCUCCAUUGCAAGCAGUACCAAGUGAUACGUUUGUCACCCUCAACUUUGUUCAACAUAAAGUGACGCGUUCAAUAUUCACUAAUCGCACAAACACGUCUUCACCCAUGAAAAUGGCAAUUCAUCUUUCGAUCUUGGUCGUGUCGUCGACGGUGAGGGUUGUCCAGUGACGAGUGCGACAUUUGGCUUUCUCGAAAAUAACCUUCUGAAAUGCACCUCUGCGGGAAUGGGGGGAUUAAUACUCCUCUAGGAGAUGGGACUGAGAGUCGUGGAGCUCUUUGUAGCAAACUAGCAAUGUGGGGAGUCACUCCCCUCCUUUGAACGCCCCCUCCUUUGAACGCCUUGGACCCAAUUACAUUGGCCCAUUGAGUUUACCCUUUUGGUUGCCUUCUCACCCUUCAAGAGUCGCAUAAUCUCAACGAACUCUAUCUUUAACGUAUUUAUCCUUUCUUACAUGGCAGAAUUAGAAGGAAGGCUCACAAACCUUCGCAAAGCUUCAAGAAUAAGAGCUCUGGUCCAAAUUGUAAGAAAUCAAACAUAGAAAUUAGAUGGAAUAGUAUAAUAGUAUUAUUCACCCUGAUGAGUCUGGAUCUCAACAAGAAGCCAAUGGAAAUAGGGACCUAUAGCAACCCCACUCUCCUGAGCCAAUUUUCAAAUUCAGCCUGCCUUUUCUUUUUUUCCCAUGUACCCGUCUUUCCCAUGAUAGCAAUUACACGUGUUAGUAUGGUAGUCCCUUUCUCUCAAUUUAUGCCCAAGGCAAAUACUUGGAAACCCACUCAAUUUUCCACUUUCUGGUUCAGCUUAAUUCCAAAACUGUCCAUGCACCUUUUGCGCAUAUACACCUGUCGUGCUCGACGGUGCUAUUGUGAUAUGCCGUUGUGGAUUUUGAGCUUUCCGCCGUAGCAAAUUGUUUUGUCUCGGAAAAUCACGGCAAUUUGCAACUGUCCACGGUGGAAAUGGCUGGUUUAGGUUGCAAUUUUUUUGAAUUUGAGAUAUAAUUUGGUAAUUUAGAAACUAUCUUAUUCUGAGGUUGGUGUUAAUAAAUUGAAAUUUUUUUGUUAAGAAGGUUUUUAAUUAUGUUAACUAAUUAAAAAAAUAAACAAUAAAAAAUGCCUCGAAUGGACUCUCAAUUGAUUCAAACAUAAAUCUUUAACCUCUGUUAUGUAUAGAGUGUCUUCUUUAAAUGAUAAAUUUAAAACCUUAUUAAUAAUAUUUAGUAAGGUGGUGACAUCAGACGUAGCUGUUCUUUUUUAUUUUUUCUUGUUCUUUCAUGUCAGUUAUAAUUCCACGUUUCUGUCCAUUACAUAUUUGAACUUUGAUAUCAUCCUUCAAACUUAAAUUUUCGUGGUAUUCACCUUUUAAAUGUAACAUUUUUAGACCUUCACAGAUAGGUCUAAAGAUUGAUAUAAAAUAUUCUUAUGUUUUCCCACCAAUCUCUAUUCGUCCAUUCAGCCUUCAAACUUUUUUUGGUCUCUGUCCAAGAAUCCAAAUCCGAAUCAUAAUAUUCUGAAAUUAUCUUUUUUUGUGAUAAAUGCAAAAAAUGCAUUCUCAAAAAUAAAUUUUCAUUGAAAAUACUUCACUUGACUUAUCUUGUGUAUCGACGAUGUAGUUCAUCAGCCUUAUGGUCUUCAGAGAACUGAUUAACCAUCACCCUAUAUGGAAAAGGGGAAGGCAAAUCUGAAAAUCCACCAUUACCAGACAUGUGCAUGUAAUUGUAACAAAACUGGUUUUUUUCAGAUAUUUCAGACAUGACGUCUUUUUUUCUUAAAUUAAAAAACAUCAGAAGAAAAUUACAAAUAUUAAAACUCAAGCAAUUUUCUAAUUUGUAAUUUAAAUACUUAGUAAGCAAGCAAAAUUGAGUUUUGUUUGUAAUUAGAAGAUUAGAAAAUUACAAAUUAGAAAAUUGCUUGAGUCUUAGAGUUUGUAAUUUUCUUUUAAUGAUGUUUUUUAACUUAGGGAAAAAAGGUGUCAUGUCUGAAAUAUCUGAAAAAAAGGCCAGGUUUGUUACAAUUACAUGCACGGGUCGGUUAUAGUGGAUUUUCAGAUUUGCUUUUCCCUCUUCCUUAUAGUGUGAUGGUUAAUCAGUUUUCUGAAGACCAUAAGACUGAUGAACUAGAGCGUCGAUAGACAAAAUAAGUCAAGUGGAGUAUUUUUUAUGGAAAUUUAUUCUUGAGAAUGCAUUUUUUGCAUUUAUCACGGAAAAGAAUAAUUUCAGAAUAUUAUUAUUCGAAUUUAAAUUCUUGGCCAGAGACAAAAAAAAGUUUGAAGGCUGGACGGGUGGAAAUUGGUGGGAGAACAUAAGAAAAGAUUUUAUAUCAAUUUUUAGACUUGUCUGUGAAGGUUUAAAAAUGUUACAUUUAAAGGGUAAAUACUAUGGGAAUUUAAGUUUGAAGGAUGGUAUUAAGGUUCAAAUAUGUAAUGGACAGAGACAUGGGGUUCUAACUGAGAUGAAAGAGCAAGACAAAAAUAAAAAAGAGACCUUACUAAAUAUUAUUAGUAAGGUUUUAAAUUUCUCAUUUAAAGAAGACACUCUAUACAUAAAGGAGGUUGAAGAUUUAUGUUUGAAUCAAUUGAGAGUCUAUUCGAGAUAUUUUUUAUUGUUUAUUGUUUUUAAUUAGUUAACAUGAUGAGAGAUCUUCAUAGCUGAAAAAAAUUUCAAUUUAGUGACACCGACUUCAGAAUAAAGUGGAAUUUCGAUUCGAUUUUAUGGUUUUUUAAAGUAAUAAAUUACAUCUCAAAUUCAAAAUAAUUGCAACCUAAAUCCGCCAUUGCAGACCGCCGUGAUUACCGAGACAAAACAGCUUUGCUACGGCGGAAAGCUCAAAAUCCGCAACGGCAUGAAAGCAUGGCAGGUAUAUAGGCACAAAAGGUUCAGCGACUGUUUCGGAAUUAAGUAGGAUCAAGGUGGAAAAAUGGAGUGGCUCCCCAAGUAUUGUUAACUUGGCAAACAUUGAGAGAAGGGGAAUGCCAUGCUAAGACAUGGGUGUGCACAUGGCGCGCGUAUAAAGGGGAAGAAAGGAAAGACAGACUGAAUUUGGGAAUUGGCUUAGGAGAGCGGGGUUGCUAUAAGGUCCUAUUUUCGUUGGUUUCUCGUUGAGAUCCACAUUUGUCAGGGUGAAUAAUAUUAUUAUACUACUCCGUUUAAUUUCUAUGUUUGGACUAGAGCUCUUGUCCUUGAAGCUUUGGAAGCCUUCCUUUUAAUUCUGCCAUGUAGGAAAGGAUGAAUACGUUAAAGAUGGAGUUUGAAGAGAUUAUGCGACUCUUAAAGGGACAGAGGGCAACCAAAAGGGUAAACUCAAGGAGAGGUGUGAUUCCCUCACUGCUAGUAUGCUACAAAGAGGUGUUUGGGCGAUUAGUGAAUAUUGAACGCGUUACUUUGUGUUGAAUAGAGUUGAGAGUGACGAGCGUAUCACUUGGUACUGCCUGCAAUGGAGAAGUCCUUGAAUUGGUUUGCUCGUGGAAGCUCCAAUAAAGUGGGUCGAUGAUGGAUUUCAUAGACCAAUUUGAAAAAAUUUAACGACCCAUGCAAAGAGAAAUACUAAAGACUAUAUUCACUAAUGAACUUAGGCCAGAAUUACAAGCGGAGAUAAAAGCUUAGUUGGGCUCAUUAUUUGAAAUCAAAGAGGGUUAUUCACUUAUAAGAAGACACUAGAGAAUGGAAAAGAGGAGUGGAUUAGGCCUCAAAGGGUGUCAAACUAUUUUGAAGCAGGCUUGAUGCUAUUAGAACAUGGUCUAACAAAGUAGGUAGCACUCUCAAUAGUGAUAACAGCCAUCUAUCUAUCGAGCAGAAUGGGGGAAGGGCGCCAUCAGUUGCUGCAAGAGCGAAGUAGUAAGAGGUUUUGCUUCAAAUGUGGGGACCACUGAGGACUUAUUGCUUAAAUGAAGUCUUUGAAGCUGAUGGUUUCAGUGGCUAAGAGAAGGGGGGGUUGAAUCUUAACCCCCUUUUUUUUGCUUGCUAAAACUUGCUGUACUUAGAAGAGACUUCUCUGUUUUAUCUCGUCCCUAGCCACGAGACAUUUUCAUUUUGUCUCGUCACUUGACACGAGACAUUUUUGAUUCUUCAUCUGAACAGUAAAAACAGAAUUGAAGUAGGAAGAAAGAGAGAAGAUUACACCCAGAUAUAUCCUGGUUCAGCUGCUAAGUGCAGUGCAGCCUACAUCCAGUCUCCAUCACAACAAUGAUGGAAGAAGAAGCACCUCGGGAGAUUAUGCGGGAGAUCGAGUGGAUAGAAGAAGCACCUCGGGCAUGUGUUGUUUCCUUGGAAGCUCACUCAACAUGUGGUCAAGCAAGAAACAAGCCACAGUGGCUCUAUCCACGGCUGAAGCUGAAUAUAUAUCCGCAUCUGUUUGUUGUUCACAAUUAAUUUGGUUAAAAACUCAAUUGGAAGAUUACAAAUUAAAAAUCAAUAGUAUAACCUUAUUUUGUGGUAACAUGAGUGCAAUAAAUAUUUCUAAGAACCCUGUUCUGCACUCAAGAACAAAGCACAUUGAAAUUAAAUAUCAUUUUAUUAGAGAACAUGUGCAAAAUGGUACUAUUGAUAUUCAAUUUGUAAAAUCUGAAGAACAACUUGCUGAUAUUUUUACAAAAUCUCUCUGUGAAGAUAGAUUCUGUUUGUUAAGAACAAGUUUGGGAAUGUUUGAUUUGAAACAUGUUGAAAACUUGUGAAUUUCUGAUUCUGUCCGGUU